UAUUAUUUAAAAUGUAAUUAUUUAUACUAAAGUAGUAAUAGUUAUGUUCUUGAAACUUAAAAAAUUUGGCGGUAUUUUAGUCUAUCCAGAGGAACCUGUUUUGUAAUCGAUAAUCCACGAUGGACCUUACUUAAGUUUGUAAUCAGUUUAUAUACCGUCGUUAUCAGAAUAUUUUAUAAGAAUAAUAAUAUUCAAUAAUUUUUAUAAGAAUUUAUAUCAGAUCAAGGUGUAGCUUAUAUUUAAGUAUUAAUGGGUUACAAUAAAAUUAUUUAUACGGAUAAAAUUAUGAAAAAAUUUUUGAAGGUGGAUUUGGUAGUAAAAUUAUAAAGAUUAAUAAUUUGAUUUUAGCUCUAAAAUAUGUACACAUCGCCCGUCGCUCUUAUUAUUAAGGUAAGAUAAGUCGUAACAUAGUAGAUGUACUGGAAAGUGUAUCUAGAAUGA
rnacentral:rRNA from 1 species